rnacentral:rRNA from 1 species
UACGUAGGGGGCAAGCGUUGUCCGGAUUUAUUGGGCGUAAAGAGCGUGUAGGCGGCCAGACAGGUCCGUUGUGAAAACUUGAGGCUCAACCUCGAGACGCCGAUGGAAACCGUCUGGCUAGAGUCCGGAAGAGGAGAGUGGAAUUCCUGGUGUAGCGGUGAAAUGCGUAGAUAUCUGGAGGAACACCGGUGGCGAAGGCGGCAUCCUGGACCGGCAUUGACGCUGAGGCGCGAAAGCCAGGGGAGCAAACGGG